rnacentral:rRNA from 1 species
GACGAACGCUGGCGGCGUGCCUAAUACAUGCCAGUAGAACGCUGAAGAGAGGAGCUUGCUCUUCUUGGAUGAGUUGCGAACGGGUGAGUAACGCGUAGGUAACCUGCCUGGUAGCGGGGGAUAACUAUUGGAAACGAUAGCUAAUACCGCAUAAAAUUGAUUAUUGCAUGAUAAUUAAUUGAAAGAUGCAACUGCAUCACUACCAGAUGGACCUGCGUUGUAUUAGCUAGUUGGUGAGGUAACGGCUCACCAAGGCGACGAUACAUAGCCGACCUGAGAGGGUGAUCGGCCACACCGGGACUGAGACAAGGCCCAGAAGCCUACGGGAGGCAGCAGUAGGGAAUCUUUGGCAAUGGGGGGAACCCUGACCGAGCAACGCCGCGGGGGGGGAGAAGGGUUUCGGAUCGUAAAGCUCUGUUGUAAGAGAAGAACGGGUGUGAGAGUGGAAAGUUCACACUGUGACGGUAUCUUACCAGAAAGGGACGGCUAACUACGUG